rnacentral:rRNA from 1 species
GACGAACGCUGGCGGCGUGCCUAAUACAUGCAAGUCGAACGCAGUGGCGGACGGGUGAGUAACACGUGGGUAACCUACCCAUCAGAGGGGGAUAACACUUGGAAACAGGUGCUAAUACCGCAUAGUGAAAGAUGGCCUCGCGCCUGAUUAGCUAGUAGGUGAGGUAACGGCUCACCUAGGUGAUGAUCAGUAGCCGGACUGAAGGUUGAUCGGCCGAAGUGGGACGGAGACAGGGCCCAGACUCCUACGGGAGGCAGCAGUGGGGAAUAUUGGGCCAUGGCGCAAGCCUGACCCAGCAACGCCGCGUGCGGGAUGACGGCCUUCGGGUUGUAAACCGCUUCAGCCAUGACGCGGUAGUGGCAGAAGAAGCACCGGCUAACUACGUGCCAGCAGCCGCGGUAAUAC